rnacentral:rRNA from 1 species
GACGAACGCUGGCGGCGUGCUUAACACAUGCAAGUCGAACGAGUGGCGAACGGGUGAGUAAUACGUGGGUAACCUGCCCUCUUUUUGGGAUAAGCCUUGGAAACGGGGUCUAAUACCGACUAACGGGGGAUGGGCUCGCGGCCUAUCAGCUUGUUGGUGGGGUGAUGGCCUACCAAGGCGGUGACGGGUAGCCGGCCUGGGAGGGUGAACGGCAAAAUUGGGACGGAGAGACGGCCCGGGCGCCUACGGGAGGCAGCAGUGGGGGAUAGUGCACAAGGGGCGAAAGCCUGAUGCGGCGAAGACGAGUGGGGGAUGAAGGCUUUCGGGUGGUAAGCCGGUUAAGCUAACGAACGGGUAGGUGGAGAAGAAGCGCCGGCUAACUACGUGCCAGCAGCCGCGGUAAUUC